rnacentral:rRNA from 1 species
GAUGAACGCUGGCGGCGUGCCUAAUACAUGCAAGUCGAGCGAAUGGAUUAAGAGCUUGCUCUUAUGAAGUUAGCGGCGGACGGGUGAGUAACACGUGGGUAACCUGCCCAUAAGACUGGGAUAACUCCGGGAAACCGGGGCUAAUACCGGAUAACAUUUUGAACCGCAUGGUUCUAAAUUGAAAGGCGGCUUCGGCUGUCACUUAUGAAUGGACCCGCGUCGCAUUAGCUAGUUGGUGAGGUAACGGCUCACCAAGGCAACGAUGCGUAGCCGACGUGAGAGGGUGAUCGGCCACACUGGGACUGAGACACGGCCCAGACUCCUACGGGAGACAGCAGUAGGGAAUCUUCCGCAAUGGACGAAAGUCUGACGGAGCAACGCCGCGUGAGUGAUGAAGGCUUUCGGGUCGUAAAACUCUGUUGUUAGGGAAGAACAAGUGCUAGUUGAAUAAGCUGGCACCUCGACGGUACCUAACCAGAAAGCCACGGCUAACUACGUGCCAGCAGCCGCGGUAA